UAUAUAUUAAAGGAUGUUGCAAGAAAUAAAGGAAGAACCUACACACUAUUCAUACCAAGGAGGCCGCCCCCAUUCUUUUCCGGAACUUAUCAAAUCAAGUGAGAAAGCGGCGCAUCAAUGUCAAAACAACAUAAUAGAAAAGAAACAUAAAGAGAAGGGGGAAGGGACUUGAUUUUUUGCUUCAGAUUCUUUUUCUUAAAAAACAUCAUUUCAUCUGUUUGCUUUCCUCCCUACCACUUUUUACUACAUACCAUACAUACACUACCCUCCUCUCACUAAAAAAAAUAGAAACAAUAUCACCACCCUCAUCUCUCACGCACACAUGUUAAACCAAUUUCAUUCAUGAUAUUUCUAUAAGCACUUUUAUUUUCACUUGAAAUCUCACUCUCUCUCAAUUUUAAUUGGAAAAUAAAUGAAUGGCAAAAGUGGAUCUGUGAAGAUACAAACACCAUCGUGAAACCGUAAAUCACCGCCUGCCACUACAUGAACAUUAACUACAACCAUAUUUAGUGUAUAGCAUAAAAAAGAGGUCACCCAUGGUGGUAUGGAUCCAAUUCGGUUUUAAGAACUUCCAUCCUGAUUUAAGAUCUCGUAAUUGGUGUUUUAAAAAUUGAUUAUUGUCGUUGAUGAAGUAUCAUGUGUUACUUUGUGUUGCAAUUGUUUUGCUUAAUUUAUGCCUUGCUGGUUUUUUCUUUAUUUUUUAGUUUUGUAAUGAUUCUAUGGUGUAGAUAAUAUUGGGUUGUUAUUUUAUUGUAUUGAAUUUUAAAUUAGAUUUUGGAUCCGUGGAUUCGGCAACUUCAUGUCGUUAUGCCACCUUUUUUUUCAAUACAUUAAUCGAACAUUUCACCGAGUUAUGAUCUUACGAAUGAAAUUAAUUGUAUUGUCA